CGGGGUUUUCCGGAUGGGACAGGACGCUGCAUGUAAGAUACGUCAGCCUCGUGUCGUGAGAUGUUGGGUUAAGUCCCGCAACGAGCGCAACCCUUGUCUCUAGUUGCUACGAAAGGGCACUCUAGAGAGACUGCCGGUGACAAACCGGAGGAAGGUGGGGAUGACGUCAAGUCCUCAUGGCCCUUAUGGGUAGGGCUUCACACGUCAUACAAUGGUGCAUACAGAGGGUUGCCAAGCCGCGAGGUGGAGCUAAUCCCAGAAAAUGCAUCGUAGUCCGGAUCGUAGUCUGCAACUCGACUACGUGAAGCUGGAAUCGCUAGUAAUCGCGGAUCAGCAUGCCGCGGUGAAUACGUUCCCGGGUCUUGUACACACCGCCCGUCACACCAUGGGAGUGGGCUUUACCAGAAGUAGUUAGCCUAACCGCAAGGAGGGCGAUUACCACGGUAGGGUUCAUGACUGGGGUGAAGUCGUAACAAGGUAGCCGUAUCGGAAGGUGCGGCUGGAUCACCUCCUUUAAGAGCGUGCAUCCUAGUUAGGCGUCCACACUUAUCGGUUUGUUUGAUGUUACAGCCAAGGGUCUGUAGCUCAGGUGGUUAGAGCACCGUCUUGAUAAGGCGGGGGUCGUAGGUUCAAGUCCUACCAGACCCACCAAGUUACGGACGGUGGAAGUCUUCGCGGACCCUGGGGGACCCCCCCCCCCACCCUAUGAUAAUGAGAAUUGGGAUCCCCUUUGAUGGCCGUUGCGGAGCCUUUUGGGUCUGGGUUGGGGGGGGAGGCUU
rnacentral:sRNA from 1 species